rnacentral:tRNA from 1 species
GCCCCUGUAGUCUAACGGAUACAGUCUUUUAAGAAAAGCCUGGGCAAAACAGGUGCGGCGUGCGCUGCGCUUAGCCACACAGGAAACUUGCUGACCGUAAAGAAUGCGAGGUUGCGGACCUUGAGAUCGGCGUUCAAUUCGCCGCAGGGGCA